rnacentral:rRNA from 1 species
UACGUAGGGUGCGAGCGUUGUCCGGAAUUAUUGGGCGUAAAGGGCUCGUAGGCGGUUCGUCACGUCGGGAGUGAAAACUCCGGAGCUUAACUCCGAGCCUGCUUCCGAUACGGGCAGACUAGAGGUAGGCAGGGGAGAGCGGAACUCCUGGUGUAGCGGUGGAAUGCGCAGAUAUCAGGAAGAACACCGGUGGCGAAGGCGGCUCUCUGGGCCUUACCUGACGCUGAGGAGCGAAAGCGUGGGUAGCGAACAGG